GAACUAAGGAGAAAAGGCAUUGAAGAUGGAAGAAGACAGAAGCACAACUGUUAAGACUAUUUGUUAGGAUUUUUUUCUGGAGAACAUAAAAAACACGAUGGAUUGAAAAGUGCAAGGUUGUUGCCUGCUCAAAUGAUUGGCAGAUGGAUGUGUAUUCAGUGGAAAUGAACUUUUGGUGAGUAAAUGGAAUGACAAGUGCCUGAAGAGAAUCCACAGGAAGAGGGGGUGACAUGUUCCUGCAUUUGGAGUGACCAGGCUGUGAGGUCAGAUGGCCGUUGGACACCGGACAGCCUUGUCCCUCAGGGUUCAUGGCUCUGCGGACCAGAGAUGAUUAAAUAUCUAAUGAGUCCAGUGUGAAAAUCCAGCACCAUCUGGAGGGUACGAUCAUCCUCUGUUCAUCCUACAGAUCUGGAGGACCUUCCUGAGAAACAGGCCUGUGAACUUUGCACACAAGGAGACCGACUUCUCUGCCAGUUGUUCUCUUCUACAGUAUAUGCAGGCUGUCAACCGGUGGUGCCCUUGACUCAUGACCUUGAUGGAAAUGAUAGACCUUAAGAAAGGAAAGCAUUUUUUGUUUAAUCAGCAUUUAUGUGUGCUACUGAAGGGUCCUAAAGGAGCAAAGGCCGCCAACCAUGUGAACAGAACUGUAUUACUGCCCUGUGGGCAGCCGCGCAUCUCAGCUGGUUCACACAUUAACACAGUAAUGUCCUUUCAGAUCUCGUGCAUAAAAAAAAAAUCCAUAUUUAAUAUUAGGACAAAGACCCACAGGAUGAAUCAAAUAAACAAUUGCAAAUUCACAGUGAUUUAUCAAACAACAAAAAUCAAAAACAGCCAUUAAUCCUGUUCAGGCAUGAAAAAAAUCCUUGGUAAAGGGGUGUCAUGGGAAAGGGGUGCAGAGCUGCUGAACAUGUGGUGGUGUCUAAUCACGCAGCACUGUUAUCCCAUUAAAAACCAGUGCUGUAAUUUCAUUUAUGAGGCUGAACAGCAGUUGUCCUCCUUAGCAGGAAACAAAUGAGAUAAAUAUCUGUUUAUCUCUACACUCUGACAUGAAGUAUAUUAAGCAAUGAAUUAAAUCCAUUAAAUCUGUUAAUUUGAGUGUGUGCAUGGGUGUGAAAGUCACUUUGGCAGCUAUUCAAUCAGGAAGGGAAAGACGCCCCCCAUAAUAACAGUGUGCUGCUAAACUGUAACAUAUUUCAUGUACAGGAUAUUAUAAAGGGAAGUAAACUGAAACAUUUGCUAAUUUACAGGUGAAAAGGGGUUAACCUGGAUAAAUUUAUUCCAACUGUCUGAUUUUUGCAGAAUAUAAAUAAUACAUCUGAUACAAUUUUGAAUUAUUUCUUGA